UACGGAGGGUGCAAGCGUUAUCCGGAUUCACUGGGUUUAAAGGGUGCGUAGGCGGGCAAGUAAGUCAGUGGUGAAAUCUCCGAGCUUAACUCGGAAACUGCCGUUGAUACUAUUUGUCUUGAAUAUUGUGGAGGUAAGCGGAAUAUGUCAUGUAGCGGUGAAAUGCUUAGAUAUGACAUAGAACACCAAUUGCGAAAGGCAGCUUACUACACAAUUAUUGACGCUGAGGCACGAAAGCGUGGGGAUCAAACAGG
rnacentral:rRNA from 1 species